CCUACGGGUGGCAGCAGUGAGGAAUAUUGGUCAAUGGGCGCGAGCCUGAACCAGCCAAGUCGCGUGAGGGAAGACGGCCCUAUGGAUUGUAAACUUCUUUUGUCUGGGAGUAAAAUACGCUAUGCGUGGUGCUUCGCGAGUACCUGAAGAAAAAGCAUCGGCUAACUCCGUGCCAGCAGCCGCGGUAAUACGGAGGAUGCGAGCGUUAUCCGGAUUUAUUGGGUUUAAAGGGUGCGUAGGCGGAAGAUCAAGUCAGCGGUAAAAUUGAGAGGCUCAACCUCUUCGAGCCGUUGAAACUGGUUUUCUUGAGUGAGCGAGAGGUAUGCGGAAUGCGUGGUGUAGCGGUGAAAUGCAUAGAUAUCACGCAGAACUCCGAUUGCGAAGGCAGCAUACCGGCGCUCAACUGACGCUCAUGCACGAAAGUGUGGGUAUCGAACAGGAUUAGAUACCCUUGUAGUC
rnacentral:rRNA from 1 species